UACGGGGGGAGCAAGCGUUGUUCGGAUUUACUGGGCGUAAAGGGCGCGUAGGCGGCCACCGCAAGUCGACUGUGAAAUCUCCGGGCUUAACCCGGAAAGGUCAGCCGAUACUGCGGGGCUAGAGUGCAGAAGGGGCAACUGGAAUUACGGUGUAGCGGUGAAAUGCGCGAUAUCAGGAGGAACACCAUGGCGGAAGGCAGGUCUC
rnacentral:rRNA from 1 species